rnacentral:lncRNA from 1 species
UACUGCUUACGAGCAUCGAGUGUGGUCAAGCUAUGUAGACCCUUAGGAGCUUGUCAUGCGGUUAAAAUCAAGAUUCACUUGCACGUUUACUCAUACAUGCUGCCUCUACUCCAGAAGUACGCAUCCACAUACAUCCACUCAUUUCCAUCUCCAGAUUCAACCAAAAUUAUUCUACUCCUAUCUGGGAGAGAAUAGCCAAAAACAUUAUCCUAUCCCUAUUAUUCCCUUUGAAAUAAAUGCUCGAGAUAUUUUGGUUACUACCACUUGCUACAUUAUUCCAGGAGGGUGAGUGCUCUGAAAAAAAGUAAAUACGAGAAAACAAAAAGGGACAAGUGCCCGGAACCUCGAAGAAAAGAAAAAAGUGAGACGAGAGGUAAAAAUGGACAAGUGUCCGACAGUAGAAUUAGGGGUACAAGAUACCCACCUGAGAGAAAAGAAAAAUAAAAUAUAGAGCGUCUCAUUCCCCUUAAAAGCCUCAAGUGCAAGAAAGGUAUGUACCCCCUCAAAAGAGCAAAAGAAGAAUUAGACUUUCACCAUUAUUUUCACCAUUAUCACCAUUCAUUCGCCACACAUGCACAUCUUGAUUUUACUUAUUGACUUGUUCUUCUAGAUCCAUGGUUUGACUAUGCAAUAAGUGUCUUGUAAGUAUGUAUUAGCUGUCUCCCACCUAUGAGCUCCAGAUAUCAAAACCUUAUUAGUGUAGGGUGAGAAAGAAUGCAAUACCACUAUGCCUCAUACCAAAAAUACCACAUACUUUGAGAGAAGGCAUACACCAUUAUUGUCUUGGUAAGGAUCUAGAAAUACCACAAAAGAGAGACUAGAGAGAGUCAUACAAGGAAUCUCUGAGUUUUAUUUGAAAAUCUGCAAAAACUCCAGAGCUAUAGUUAACCGAAGAACAAGAGACAUGGCGCUUGACGAGACCGUUCUAUCUUUUAACUGCUCAAGACAUAAGUGAUGGUUGCAAGCCCCAUGGUGGAAGGUAAAAUGAGUAAGUUUAAAUAUUAACAGUUUACCCUAACCCUGAGAUG